rnacentral:rRNA from 1 species
AUACGGAGGAUCCGAGCGUUAUCCGGAUUUAUUGGGCGUAAAGGGCGUGUAGGCGGUCUUGCAAGUCAGAAGUGAAAUUCCUGAGCUCAACUCGGGCGCUGCUUCUGAAACUGCAGGACUUGAGUGCUGGAGGGGAUAGCGGAAUUCCUAGUGGAGCGGUAAAAUGCGCAGAUAUUAGGAAGAACACCGGUGGCGAAGGCGGCUAUCUGGACAGUAACUGACGCUGAGGCGCGAAAGCGUGGGGAGCAAACAGGAUUAGAUACCCUGGUAGUCCACACGGUAAACGAUGAAUGCUAGGUGUAAGAGGUAUCGACCCCUUUUGUGCCGGAGUCAACACAAUAAGCAUUCCGCCUGGGGAGUACGGCCGCAAGGUUGAAACUCAAAUGAAUUGGCGGGG